rnacentral:lncRNA from 1 species
AGUCAGGGUGGCAGCUGGGGCUGGGACUUGAGUUUUUAAAUUUCAAAUCUCAUCUUUUCAUUAUCUCAAAUUUGUCAUUUAUUCAUCAGCGUUUUAUGGAGUCCACGACAUGUAGGACGUUGCCAGACAUGAAUGAAAUACUGUGAUGAGCAAGAAAGAGCCUGAAACCAGAGGCCCAUAAUCCAAUGGAAUGCACCACACUCUCGAUGUGCAUACAGAGGAGAUGGCUGGCUGGCUGGAUCCAGGGUUUUAAUGUUUCCAGGACAAGAGCAUGGGAACAACCAUCUCCUGGAAUGGCC